UGGUGAUUCUAUAAAUAUACGUACAUUUUUGUUAUUAAGAGAAACGUUUGGCGGAAAUCGAUUUUAACCGACAACACAAGAAAUAAAAACAAUACAAUUCUGCUGGCUUGAGACUCGAAAUUGCUGUUUUGCGACACUGUUCACAUUGGAAGUCCACACAUUCUUCCGAGCUAAGACAUUUCAACAUACCUAUUAUAAACAUUUUAUGAAAAUUUAACCAGCAUUCGACUUAUAGUAUACGAUAUGAUAAAAUGGAGUGCAAUUGCUUGCAGUUUUACAACCUACACACAGGCCCAAUGAGAGAGGGGCUGCUGGAAAUGUCUCCCAGGAGCUUGGGCUUCAAUAAAGGCCCGGGGCCUGAUCAAGCUCACUACGUCUCGGUUAGGUAAAAAUUCGUUAUACAAAUUUUAAAAGAAGACACUGGAUGUCUGUGGCAAGUUUAAUACCUCGUGUAGGAAGGGCCUGGAUUAAUUUGUCCCUGAGACCCUUGAUUUUUCUCCACGGCCCUGCCUACACACAUAUACAUUGAAUGCUGCUCUUUGUCUCUAAGUUUAUAAGUAAAUAGAGUUCAGACGGUUGCCGAAUACCGAUUGGAUGAUUAGUACGUUGUACGCAAAUGCUAUCCCUCCAUUCAAUUAUGAAUUUAUAAGUAAGUCGAGUUCGAUCGUACAAUGAUGUUAUUUUGUUUUUGAUAACAUGAUGUUACACCGAAAUUACCUUACUGUGUUAAUUCAAUGCUAUGCGUGUAAUUGUGAUCAAAUUACUUUCACGAGCUUUUCAAAAAAACGUAGCUGACCAAGUUUUCGGUCGCAGAAUACAACAUGCAAUUUUAAAUCUUAAAACGAUUUUUUUUUUUCCGCCAUGAGCUAACAAGUAGGUUACUCGAGUAUUGCACGAAUUAAUAAGCAAAUUAUUAUGGAAAUUUAUAUAUUAUGUAUGUAUUUUGUAUAUAUAUACUUUAUGGUAAAAUUUAAUUAAAAUUCCUUUUUGAUUUUGUUUUGAUCAGUAAUUUAUAAGUAACUCGAGUCGAAAAUAAUUUGGUUUCGAUUGUGAAUUUAUAAGUAACUCGAAUUAAAUAUACUCAACGUUACCAGGUUAACAUUUAAAAAUUGACAAAAAUAUAUGAACUAAUACCUAGGAAUAGGCAGUCCGAAAUGUUCGUACUUGUUUUAAUAUCGCACCUCAUUUUUUCUACAGCGAAUCGUUUAUUGUUCGUAAUUAUGUCAAAAAAAAAAAAAAAGAAAGAAGUU